GAUGAACGCUAGCGACAGGCUUAACACAUGCAAGUCGAGGGGCAGCAUGGGAGGUGGCAACACCACCCGAUGGCGACCGGCGCACUGGUGAGUAACACGUAUGCAACCUGCCCCCUACAGGGGAAUAACCCAGAGAAAUUUGGCCUAAUGCCCCGUAGUCCGCGCGUCGGCAUCGUUGCGCGGGGAAAGAUCCGUCGGUAGGGGAUGGGCAUGCGGCGCAUUAGCUGGUUGGCGGGGCAACGGCCCACCAAGGCUACGAUGCGUAGGGGUUCUGAGAGGAAGGUCCCCCACACUGGUACUGAGACACGGACCAGACUCC
rnacentral:rRNA from 1 species